CACGUAGGUCGGCGAGCGUUGUCCGGAUUUACUGGGCGUAAAGGGCGUGCAGGCGGUUUGUUAAGUGGCAGGGUGAAAGCUCCCGGCUCAACUGGGAGAGGUCCUUGCAUACUGGCGAACUCGAGGGAGGCAGAGGAAAGUGGAAUUCCCGGUGUAGUGGUGAUAUGCGUAGAUAUCUGGAGGAACACCGGUGGCGAAGGCGGGUCUGCUGGGCCGAUACUGACGCUGAGGAGCGAAAGCGUGGGGAGCGAACAGG
rnacentral:rRNA from 1 species